UGGACAGGUUCCAGCUGGGUUGGAAGAGGAAACCCAUUGCUUUGAUUAAAAAGCGAAACAUGAUCAUCGUCCCUGAGAUGAUCGGAAGCGUCAUUGGAGUGUACAUUGAUCGGACAAUAUCUAGCUGAGUUCUCAAUCUCAUACAAGCCAGUCAAGCAUGAUAGACUUGGUAUUGGUGCCACCUACUCUUCAAGGUGGCUGGUGCUGCACGAAACAGAUCUGUCAAAAUGGUGAAGGCUUUUUACACAAUGAACAAGGCAUCCUUAUCUCCUCCAGCUUCCAGAGGGAACUGCUUUUGUGGUUGGGUUGAUUGCUAUGAUGACUGAUCAUUACAGCAAUUUGCAUACCCCUUUAUGUUAAAGAAAUGUUCGUAUGUCAAAUGGUGCCCUCGGAUACGGCAUAUCACUUCAUGUCAAAUGGUGU